rnacentral:rRNA from 1 species
GACGAACGCUGGCGGCGUGCUUAACACAUGCAAGUCGAACGGUAAGGCCCUUCGGGGUACACGAGUGGCGAACGGGUGAGUAACACGUGGGUGAUCUGCCCUGCACUUCGGGAUAAGCCUGGGAAACUGGGUCUAAUACCGGAUAGGACCCUGGGAUGCAUGUCCUGGGGUGGAAAGCUUUUGCGGUGUGGGAUGGGCCCGCGGCCUAUCAGCUGGUUGGUGGGGUGAUGGCCUAUCAAGGCGACGACUGGUAGCCGGCCUGAGAGGGUGACCGGCCACCAUGGGACUGAGAUACGGACCAGGCUCCUACGGGAGGCAGCAGUGGGGAAUAUUGCUCAAGGGGCGCAAGCCUGAUGCAGCGACGCCGCGUGAGGGAUGACGGCCUUCGGGUUGUAAACCUCUUUCAGCACCGACGAAGCGCAAGUGACGGUAGGUGCAGAAGAAGGACCGGCCAACUACGUGCCAGCAGCCGCGGUAA